CUACGGGCGGCUCCAGUGAGGAGUAUUGCACAAUGGGGGGAACCCUGAUGCAGCAACGCCGCGUGGAGGAUGACGCAUUUCGGUGUGUAAACUCCUUUUAUAUGUCAAGAAAAUGACGGUAGCAUAUAAAUAAGCACCGGCUAACUCCGUGCCAGCAGCCGCGGUAAUACGGAGGGUGCAAGCGUUACUCGGAAUCACUGGGCGUAAAGGACGCGUAGGCGGGUUGGAAAGUCAGGUGCGAAAUCCUACAGCUUAACUGUAGAACUGCACUUGAAACUUCUAAUCUAGAGUAUGGGAGGGGGAGAUGGAAUUAGUGGUGUAGGGGUAAAAUCCGUAGAUAUCACUAGGAAUACCUAAAGCGAAGGCGAUCUCCUGGAACAUUACUGACGCUAAGGCGUGAAAGCGUGGGGAGCAAACAGGAUUAGAUACCCGGGUAGUC
rnacentral:rRNA from 1 species